rnacentral:rRNA from 1 species
AUGAAGGUUUUGAGUUGGAAUUGUAAUGGACUGGGGAACGCCCCAGCGGGUCAUGCCUUGCUGGAGGUCCAGCGAAGAUGCCAACCUGAUGUGUUGUUUUUGUCGGAGACACACCUAGAUAGCUACCCGGCUGAAAGUUUGAGGAAAAGAUUGAAGAUGGAUCAGAAACUUGUGUGCCCUAGUGAUGGUAGGAAGGGAGGGUUAUUGCUGUUUUGGAAUAAUAACACCAGGGUGACCAAGCUUGAGCUAGACCCUAUGUUCAUUGAUGUUAAGAUUGAAGAAGCAAAUAAUGUGGUGUGGCGUUUGACAGGGAUGUAUUGGGAGUUUCGGUGGAAAAAUAAACACAUGACGUGGAGCCGCAUGAGGCAACUCCACCAAAAUCAUAAACUUCCAUGGAUUGUGUUGGGUGAUCUGAAUGAAAUUCAGUACCUACAUGAUAAGGAUGGAGGUAACCCACGCCCGAGGACUGUGAGCUGCACGACCUUGGGUUAA